GCGGAAAUGACUGCGAGCGCAAGGUGUGAGCGGGGCUAAGAAUGGGAAAGCGAGUGACUUCCGCUGGAGAAGCUGCAGUUGUUGCCUGUAGAGGGGUCGGCGACUUUUGAGACGGUGAAGAGCAGGCGGGGGAAGCAGUGAAGAGCAGACGGUAAGGAGCUGGUGCUACGCUGUUCUCCUUUGUUCUCCUGACACCUGAGAAUUCUGGGAAAGUGGUUCACGAGAGACUCGAGGUUAGAUUCACCUGACUGUAAAAGUGCUGACAAUGGGUGUUCCCACUGUUCCUGUGACAGAGAGCCCAGGCUUCAGCUGCUGAAGAAGAACUGAGAC
rnacentral:lncRNA from 1 species